rnacentral:rRNA from 1 species
GAAGCUUUCUUUCACCGAAUGCUUGCAUUCACCGAAAGAAGCUUAGUGGCGAACGGGUGAGUAACACGUAGGCAACCUGCCCAAAAGAGGGGGAUAACACUUGGAAACAGGUGCUAAUACCGCAUAACCAUGAACACCGCAUGAUGUUCAUGUAAAAGACGGCUUUUGCUGUCACUUUUGGAUGGGCCUGCGGCGUAUUAACUUGUUGGUGGGGUAACGGCCUACCAAGGUGAUGAUACGUAGCCGAACUGAGAGGUUGAUCGGCCACAUUGGGACUGAGACACGGCCCAAACUCCUACGGGAGGCAGCAGUAGGGAAUCUUCCACAAUGGACGAAAGUCUGAUGGAGCAACGCCGCGUGAAUGAAGAAGGCCUUCGGGUCGUAAAAUUCUGUUGUCAGAGAAGAACGUGCGUGAGAGUAACUGUUCACGUAUUGACGGUAUCUGACCAGAAAGCCACGGCUAACUACGUGCCAGCAGCCGCGGUAAUACGUAGGUGGCGAGCGUUGUCCGGAUUUAUUGGGCGUAAAGGGAACGCAGGCGGUCUUUUAAGUCUGAUGUGAAAGCCUUCGGCUUAACCGAAGUAGUGCAUUGGAAACUGGAAGACUUGAGUGCAGAAGAGGAGAGUGGAACUCCAUGUGUAGCGGUGAAAUGCGUAGAUAUAUGGAAGAACACCAGUGGCGAAAGCGGCUCUCUGGUCUGUAACUGACGCUGAGGUUCGAAAGCGUGGGUAGCAAACAGGAUUAGAUACCCUGGUAGUCCACGCC